GUAGGUGGCAAGCGUUGUCCGGAAUUAUUGGGCGUAAAGCGCGCGCAGGGCGGUCCUUUAAGUCUGAUGUGAAAGCCCACGGCUCAACCGUGGAGGGUCAUUGGAAACUGGGGGACUUGAGUACAGAAGAGGAAAGCGGAAUUCCAAGUGUAGCGGUGAAAUGCGUAGAGAUUUGGUGGAACACCAGUGGCGAAGGCGGCUUUCUGGUCUGUAACUGACGCUGAGGCGCGAAAGCGUGGGGAGCAAACAGGAUUAGAUACCCUGGUAGUCCACGCCGUAAACGAUGAGUGCUAAGUGUUAGGGGGUUUCCGCCCCUUAGUGCUGCAGCUAACGCAUUAAGCACUCCGCCUGGGGAGUACGGCCGCAAGGCUG
rnacentral:rRNA from 1 species